rnacentral:rRNA from 1 species
UACGUAGGUGGCAAGCGUUACUCGGAAUCACUAGGCGUAAAGCGCAGGUAGGAGGUUUAGUAAGUCUGUUGUGAAAGCUCCCGGCUUAACUGGGAGAGGUCAACGGAAACUGCUAGGCUAGAGUUCGGUAGAGGAAGGUGGAAUUCCCGGUGUAGCGGUGAAAUGCGUAGAUAUCGGGAGGAAUACCUAUGGCGAAAGCAGCCUUCUGGACCGUAACUGACUCUGAUCUGCGAAAGCUAGGGGAGCAAACAGG